AUCUCUCAUCUUCUUGGUUUCAUACGCAUUGUCUUAGACUUUUAGUAAACAAAUGAACGACAUUGUGGUUAACAUAAGGAGAAUUUAAAUCUCCAAACCAGAGAAGUGCUUACAGAGAUAGUUGUCUCAGUGAUUGAAACUUCCAUUACGUCAAAUCUACCAUUGAGUAAAACUUUAGUAAAAGGUCAAUGUAGUUCUUAAUCGACCACACCUAAGCUAAUAUUUUUAAAACGCCGAAUACAGAGUUAAUUUAAACAGUUCGUAUUCAGUAUUACGAUUCAACAUUAAUACUAUCCACAAUGUAUGGAACGAUUACAAACCCUAGAUGUCGGGGACUCAUAUUGCCAAGUUGAGCCCAAAGCUUUUAGUCGAGCCCCUUACUAUUCCUAAUGCCUUAUGUUGCAUAAUUGGAGACCAUGACCUAUUGACCUAGUCCAACUUAUCUGUUUGAUCUUCUUGAUUGUCUAAUUGCUAGUUUGGUGGAUUUGCUUGGUUAUAAACCUUCUAUACCAGUUAAUUUUUUGGUUGGUUUGUGCUUUUAGCCGAUAAGUACUACAUAGGUAGAUGAUUAGUUGUUGGUGUACUUCAGUUGUACUACAUAUGUGUAUAUAGCUCUCAUUGUGUGAUUCAAGAGAUCAUCACAAUUGAAUGAGAAUUCAUUAUUUCUGGAUCAUAAAAUCUCAGCUAGGCCUCUUAUGUGCAUCAAAGUUACCUCAGAGUUUCUCUUAAGUUGAAUGUGGUACAAUUGAGCUACAUGGCACAUAUAGUUCUCUCUCAUUGUUCGAGUAUCAGCAGCAUGUAUGCAUUGUAGAUUUGGUACAAGUUUCUAAGACCAUCACUGGUUGUAUAUCAUAAUUCAUAGCCCUUAAAGCAUGGGACUUGAGUGAUCUUUAAGGUAAACUAACUGUGUUUCUGAGAGGUGGAUCCACAAGGUUGAAUUUAGCAGUGUCUGUUUUCGGAUUAAAGUUUCCAAAACCUUCUGCAAGUAUAUAAAAAUCAUAUCCAUGAAGAUGAAUCGGGUGGUUUUCAGCUGUGAAGAUGUUCGUUCCUUGCAACACGAUCUGCACUCUUGCCCCAUAUUUCAACUUAUAGACUUUUGUCCCACGAGAAGGCUGCCACAAAGACUGGCUCACAUUCCCAGUGUAAUCAAACUUCACCGGAGGUUUCGCCGGAAAAUCAGUAGUAAAAACUCCGGGAACCCUUUGUUGAUGUGCUUGAAGCAAGGAGAAGUUAGACGGGAGCACAAACGAUACAUUGUUCAUGCUGGCAGUGAAGCGGGUCCCGUUUGGUCCCUGACAGUUUCUCGCCCUGGUUUUUGGCGGACAUUGAUUGAUCCCUAACCCUGCUGUAAUAAACAAACUGUCAUCAAUUUCAGUCGGAACCAUCACUUUUCUCGGGCUUCUGAAGCUGGUGGUGAAGGCGGUGGCGGUGGCGGUGUCGUUAUAUGCCGGGAGAGGCGGCAUGAUCGGCUUUGAAGUGGCGCACUUGGCGGCUGUACACGUGGCGGUUUUGUACUCCAGAAUGGCGGUUGUGGUGGUGUUGUCGAAUGGUGCACCUUGUGCACUGGCGUACGCACGUGCAGCAAUGUAGUAUCUACCUGGCGCCUGGUCAGCUUUGAUGAGUACAUCUGUCGUUUGACCUGGACCAAGCAUCAGGACCGAGGUUGUGAAUGGUUUUACAUAGGAAGCAUCUGCUCCCACCACUGUAAGUUUAUGGUUGGCUAUGGUGAAAAAAAGUUGUUGGUUUAAAGCUGCAUUGAUCACCCGAAUGAGAUUCGUCUCCCCUGAAUCAAUGGCUGUAAAGAUCACCGGGUUGACCAUUGAUGGUAUACGCAUCAGAAACAUUUGGAGCUGCUCCUGUUCUUGUGGCUUCUCUGAUAACAUCUAUCGGGUUCGCAUCCCACCAUUCACCUGAUGAUGUCAUCAUCUCAUUACAUCAGUCAUGAAUCAUCAGAGUCGGACCUGGGAACUGCCCGUUGACCGUGAUGGAAUUAUGUGUCUUGCAUAGCCUCUUGAUAUUUGUUUGUUGAACCUAAACAUUAUGUAAAACACUUGGCAUUGUUACAAAAUAAACGUAACAAAUUACAAAUACAUAAAAAAAAAAAAAUAGAAAGAUAAAUUAAUCAUACGACAAAGUCAUGGUUGUGAGUCUUUGCGUUUGCUAAAUAUCCCAAACUUGAAACUAGAAGCAAGAAGCUGAGUAAAGUGGUGGUGAACACAAGUGCCAUUGUGCUUAGAGGAAUAGAUGAGUUGUGGGAUUGUGAGAAAUAAGAGGUGGUUACUUAUAUAGGAAUUGGUAAAGUUGGUUAUGGUGCAUGGGUGAUAAUGCAGCUGAGUUCAACCCAAGUUGGUGCACCCACUGACCUACAACAUAUGUGAUUAACAUGAAUGCUUGUUAACAGAUUUUUCAUAAUCAUUUUCUUAACAGAAGUUAGUUAGUAGAUUACCAAAUGGACUUUAUUUACUAUUAUUUAGAUUUCUUAAAAUUUUGACUAUAUAUCACUGUUAGUUUAUCAGAGAAUGAACAAAUUAUAGGUUUCACAUUCAUUGAAUCUAACAAAUAGUUGUUAUUAUGAUUAAUGAAUAAGUUAUGAAAGAAAUUGAUAUGAUCUAUAAUAAAAAGUGAGAAUGUGAAUAAAGCACGAAAGGGGUACAAUCAAGUUUGUUAACAUUGAGUUGUUGGGAAAAGCUUAUUUUACCAUUAAAAAAAUAGAGCGAAGUAAAUAUGUUUUUUUGACUUUUAGUGUCCAUGACUCAAUCCCUAAAUAAAAGUAAACCAAUGGAUGAGUUGACGUCAAAGGUAAAAGGGACUAUUUUCCGUGUUUAUCAUAAUCAUUAAUCUUUUGUAUUACACUUUUGAAAACAUUUAUUUCAUAUUAUAAUUAUAAUAUAAUUUAAACACCAUCUUAGAAUAAUUGUUUACUUUAUAUUUUUUAAAUCGGUGCUAAUGAUGUUACCAAAAAAGAACAUGUUAAAUACAACCUAAAUUACUUGCAUGUUUUUCUAUUUCUACAUAAUAGCUUCAAAAGAAAAUAAGUAUUAGUAGAUACCUUAAUACUAUAAUAAAACAAGUACGAGCUUUUAAUAUAGACCCAAAAAUAUCUUACUUGGUUACUAACCAUACAUAAUUAACAUUAUAAUUAGGAAAAUAUUAUACUUAUUUUGAAAUAAAUUUCAUUUAUUUGGUAAAAAAAAGUCAUGCUUAGGUGAGAUGUUGUUAGAUUGGGGGUUUAACAACAAAAUUAGUUAGUGAUGACAAAGAUAGAUUCAUUAUUAUGUCCCUCCUGCCUUGUUUGGUGGAUUGUCCAUCCAAAGUUGGAUCCUUUGUUACACUUUUAUUUUUUCAAAUUAUUGUUCGAGGAAAAGUCUUUCUGUCUUUUUAUUUGACCCCCAAAAACGUACACACCAAAAAUUAUGGGAUGGACCCUUUCAUGUUUCAAGUUUAAAAAGCCUUUCUAAUGAAUUGCAACAUACUUUUUUUCAACAAGUUGAUAUAACAAACUAUCUUUAUUUAUCAUUUUAUGUAAUAAUUCUAAUAAUUUUUUGCAAUUUUUAGUUUAACUGAUAAGUAUGUUGGUUUAAAUAGUAAAAAAAAAAAAAUUGAUAGUAUCUUACAUAGUAUCUAAGAUGCUAUAUCAUGAUGCAAUUUAGAAACACAUUGUAUAUCAAAAACAUUAUUAUUAUUAUUUUAAUCGAAUUGCUAACAUGUUUCGAAACAAAACUCGACUAAAAGAUAAUAUUGUAUAUAUUGUGAGAUGUGCAAAAUUAACGAUGGUAUCAUGAUAUAACAUAUUAAUUAGUUAUGGUAGUCAACCUAUCCUUUAUGACAUGUUUGAUUAAUUUAUGUAACAUGUGAACUACAUCACAUGGUGUAACAGUUAAAUUUGUCAUGAGUACAACUUUACACAUGUGUAAUCUUUAGUUUAGAUGAAACUACGUAAGUUUACUAAUAGUUUUAGUCGGCUGUUGAUUUAUUAUGUAGUAGUAAAUUUUCUAAAUCUAAAUAAUUUAGUUCGUUCAUUCUCUAUUGAUUGAACUCUUUUAAUAUUAAUUAAAGAAGAUUGCAUAGUGCAUUUGGUUUUAGAUUUGAAAUCAAUUUAUGUGCGUAUAAGCUAAAUUAUUUUUAGAGAUUUUUGCAAUUUAGUGUUUGAUGAGACCAUAAAAAUAUAUUAUAGUAGCUUAUAAUCUAGUUUAUGAGCUGCUACUUGAGAUAACUUAUUAAUAAGCUGACUUAUAAGUUAAAAACUAGUUUUUUAGCUAAACA